GACGUAGGGCGCGAGCGUUGUCCGGAUUUAUUGGGCGUAAAGAGCGUGUAGGCGGUUUGUUAAGUCUGCUGUGAAAUCCCCGAGCUCAACUUGGGAAUUGCAGUGGAUACUGGCAAGCUGGAGUAUGGUAGAGGAAGGUGGAAUUCCCGGUGUAGCAGUGAAAUGCGUAGAGAUCGGGAGGAACACCAGUGGCGAAGGCGGCCUUCUGGACCAAUACUGACGCUCAUGCACGAAAGCGUGGGGAGCAAACAGG
rnacentral:rRNA from 1 species